CUUGACCGAGCCCAGCCACAGCGGCUCGUCCCGGUCCUGCCCGUACGUGGCCAGCAGCGCCUGCGCCUC
rnacentral:antisense_RNA from 1 species